rnacentral:rRNA from 1 species
AUUGAACGCUGGCGGCAUGCUUUACACAUGCAAGUCGAACGGCAGCGCGGGCUUCGGCCUGGCGGCGAGUGGCGAACGGGUGAGUAAUACAUCGGAACGUGCCCAGUAGUUGGGGAUAGCUCGGCGAAAGCCGGAUUAAUACCGCAUACGACCUGAGGGUGAAAGCGGGGGAUCAUCGGACCUCGCGCUAUUGGAGCGGCCGAUGGCAGAUUAGCUAGUUGGUGGGGUAAAGGCCUACCAAGGCGACGAUCUGUAGCUGGUCUGAGAGGACGACCAGCCACACUGGGACUGAGACACGGCCCAGACUCCUACGGGAGGCAGCAGUGGGGAAUUUUGGACAAUGGGCGAAAGCCUGAUCCAGCAAUGCCGCGUGUGUGAUGAAGGCCUUCGGGUUGUAAAGCACUUUUGGCGGGAACGAAAAGGACUGUGCCAAUACCACGGUUCGAUGACGGUACCCGCAGAAUAAGCACCGGCUAACUACGUG